GACGAACGCUGGCGGCGUGCCUAAUACAUGCAAGUAGAACGCAGUCUCGAACGGGUGAGUAACGCGUAGGUAACUGCCUCAUAGCGGGGGAUAACUAUUGGAAACGAUAGCUAAUACCGCCUCCUGUGAGUUGGACCUGCGUUGUAUUAGUUAGUUGGUGAGAGAAAGGCUCACCAAGGCGACGAUACAUAGCCGACCUGAUAGGGUGAUAGGGCACAAUGGGAAUGAGAAAAGGCCCAGGCCCCAGAAGGAGGACACAGUAGGGGAACUUCGGCAAAGGACGGGAGUCUGGACGAGCAACGCCGCGGAGGUGCAGAAGGUUUUCGGGUCGUAAAGCUAUGUUGUUAGAGAAGCGGUAACUAACCAGAAAGAAACGGCUAACUACGUGCCAGCAGCCGCGGUAAUAC
rnacentral:rRNA from 1 species